ACGGGGUGCAGCAGGCGCGAAAUCUCUACAAUGCUGGAAACAGUGAUAGGGGGACUCCGAGUGGCGUCGGCUAAGCUGGCGUCUUUUGCCAAGUGUAAAUAGCUUGGAGAAUAAGGGUGUGGGCAAGACUGGUGGCAGCCGCCGCGGUAACACCAGCGCCUCAAGUGGUACCCACGAAUACUGGGCCUAAAGCGUUCGUAGCCGGUCAGGUAAGUCUUCUGUGAAAUAGUGUGGCUUAACUACACUGCGUGCAGGAGAUACUGCUUGGCUUGGGAACGGGGGAGGUCAGGAGUACGCCCGGGGUAGGGGUAAAAUCCUUUGAGCCUGGGCGGACUACCAGUGGCGAAGGCGCCUGACCAAAACGUGUCCGACGGUGAGGAACGAAAGCUGGGGGAGCGAACGGGAUUAGAUACCCCGGUAGUCCCAGCCGUAAAUGAUGCAGACUGUGGUGUUGCUUCAGAGUUAAUCUGCAGCAGUGCUGUAGCGUAGGUGUUAAGUCUGCCGCCUGGGGAGUACGGCCGCAAGGUUGAAACUUAAAGGAAUUGGCGGGGGAGCACCACAAGGGGUGGAUGCUACGGUUUAAUUGGAUACAACGCCGUGAACUUCACCAAGGGCGACGGCAGAAUGAAGGCCAGACUAAAGAUCUUGCCCAACAAGCCGAGAGGUGUUGCAUG
rnacentral:rRNA from 1 species